AUAAGCUCAAAUAAUGGUUGGAAAAAAUAAGGGGAAGAGAAUUCUGAAAGAAAUGUAUUUCUUCCCACUAACUCCAGUAGUUGCACAAGGGUAAUAUUUCUCCCACACCCCAUUCCUGCUGUAGUCACUGUUUGAAUGUUUUGUAGCAGCUGAAAUAAUGUCAAUGUUCUGUUUUUUGGUUUCCAGACAAAGUAGUUUGAAUGCUUUUGUACAUUGCGUUUGUUGGUUAAACUGUCAAAGAGCAAAGAAAAAUACCGUGGAGUUUUGGUGGCUGUUUGGGGACUUUCUGGUGAUUUGGUAAUUCUUACUUUGGGCUGAAACCACUGUGAAAAUUACCUUAUUUCAAUGAAAUUCUGCCCCGUUUUUCAAGAUUUGUUUAGUCUGACAUUGCUUCUCCCGUGUGGGCGAGGAAUACUUGAUACAAGUUGGAGGAGUAUGGCUUUGAAAUACCUGACUGCUGCUGUCCUUUGCAGACCUUUGAUUUUUGGGGCCACUUAGACCUGUUGUCAGAGCAUGAAAGGGGUGCUAGGGCUACAGCAGCCCUAAAGAACCCCAGCCACCCUUCCCCAGCUGCUCGCAGUGCUGUUCCUCUCACCUGCUUCUGAUCAGGAACAGAUUGCACUCAUACAGCCAGGCUUAUUUUGGAUACCCGAAGUCUUUAUGAACCAUUAGUUACUGAGAGUUCGGCUUGCUGACGUGCAUCACACACCAUCCAAGUACCCGCGACCUCGUUGAGAGGUGUGCUGAAGCGUGGCCAACCCCCCAGGUGUCUUAUCUCCCGUGAGUUAGCAUCAGAUGAAGCUUGCUGACAGCAUAAUGGCAGGGAAAACCUCCGACGGCUCCAUCAAAUGGCAGCUCUGCUACGACAUCUCGGCCAGAACUUGGUGGAUGACAUUUGUGUGUGCCAUGAGGGGGACUAGAGACUCCUUUGCUAUCAGUCAGUCGAUGCAGACAUGCAGGAUUCUUACAAUCCCAGUACCAGACUCACACGAAGCGUUUGUCACCGCGAGUUCUUCCCAUUUAUCCGAAACAAGCGUGCCGAUCCGCCACCCGGCCGGCUUGGCUCCCGUGACUUAUUUAUUUACGGCGAUUGCGUUUCACCGCAGAUGAUUUCGGUACGCAAAACGUAGUGUACAAGGUG
rnacentral:lncRNA from 1 species